rnacentral:rRNA from 1 species
AACGAACGCUGGCGGCGUGCCUAACACAUGCAAGUCGAGCGGUCCAUGGGUUUCGGCCCAUGGGUAGCGGCAGACGGGUGAGUAACACGUGGGUAACCUGUCCUUGGGUGGGGGAUAACUACUCGAAAGGGUGGCUAAUACCGCAUAAGACCACGGCCUUGCGGGGCUGCGGUCAAAGGUGCAAAUCGCCUGAGGAGGGGCCCGCGGCCGAUUAGCUAGUUGGUGGGGUAAUGGCUCACCAAGGCGACGAUCGGUAGCUGGUCUGAGAGGAUGAUCAGCCACACUGGUACUGAGACACGGACCAGACUCCUACGGGUGGCAG